ACGAACCGUCCGAACGUUAUUCGGUAUCACUGGGCUUAAAGAGUUCGUAGGCGGCCCGACAGGUGAGGUGUGAAAUCCCUCGGCUCAACCGAGGAAUUGCGCUUCAAACCGUCAGGCUUGAGGGAGAUAGAGGUGAGCGGAACAGAUGGUGGAGCGGUGAAAUGCGUUGAUAUCAUCUGGAACACCGGUGGCGAAAGCGGCUCACUGGAUCUUUUCUGACGCUGAGGAACGAAAGCUAGGGUAGCGAACGGGAUUAGAUACCCCGGUAGUCCUAGCCGUAAACGAUGAGCACUAGUCUGUGGGGACCCUCACAUCCUCUCGGACGUAGCGAAAGUGUUAAGUGCUCCGCCUGGGGAGUAUGGUCGCAAGGCUG
rnacentral:rRNA from 1 species